GACGAACGCUGGCGGCGUGCCUAAUACAUGCAAGUAGAACGCUGAAGGAGGAGCUUGCUCUUCUGGAUGAGUUGCGAACGGGUGAGUAACGCGUAGGUAACCUGCCUGGUAGCGGGGGAUAACUAUUGGAAACGAUAGCUAAUACCGCAUAAAAUUGAUUAUUGCAUGAUAGUCAAUUAAAAGGUGCAAUUGCAUCACUACCAGAUGGACCUGCGUUGUAUUAGCUAGUUGGUGAGGUAACGGCUCACCAAGGCAACGAUACAUAGCCGACCUGAGAGGGUGAGCGGCCACACUGGGACUGAGACACGGCCCAGACUCCUACGGGAGGCAGCAGUAGGGAAUCUUCGGCAAUGGACGGAAGUCUGACCGAGCAACGCCGCGGGAGUGAAGAAGGUUGUCGGAUCGUAAAGCUCGGUUGUAAGAGAAGAACGAGUGUGAGAGUGGAAAGUUCACACUGUGACGGUAUCUUACCAGAAAGAGACGGCUAACUACGUG
rnacentral:rRNA from 1 species